GACGAACGCUGGCGGCGUGCCUAAUACAUGCAAGUCGAACGCAGUGGGGACGGGUGAGUAACACGUGGGUAACCUCCCAUCAGAGGGGAUAACACUUGGAAACAGGUGCUAAACCGAUACUGAUGGAUGGACCCGCGGUGAAUUAGCUAGUUGGUGAGGUAACGGCUCACCAAGGCCACGAUGCAUAGCCGACCGGAGAGGGGGUGAGGCCACACGGGGACGGAGAAACGGCCCAGACUCGUACGGGAGGCGGCAGUAGGGAAUCUUCGGAAAUGGACGAGAGUCUGACCGAGCAACGCCGCGGUAGGAAAGAAGUUUUUCGGAUCGUAAAACUCUGUUGUUAGAGAAGCGGUAUCUAACCAGAAAGCCACAGCUAACUACGUGCCAGCCGCCGCGGUAAUUC
rnacentral:rRNA from 1 species